rnacentral:lncRNA from 1 species
GAAACACACACUGUGGACAAGUUUUAUUCGUCAGCGUACACAUACACUUAGUAAGGCCAACGGCCCCUAAUAUUACCAGGAGGAAAAUAGUUGCAAGUCACAAAGGUUCCACCAUUGUCACACUUGACUUUGGCACACCCAACCCACUUCGAGUUUUUCCACACAACCUGAGUAUAAUGACCACAUUGUUUUCCAGCACGACAUGUGUUCGAUUUGUGGAAGUAGUCAGACUUCUCUUUGACCCACAAUCUCACUGCGGCAGCUCCGGACAUAUCACCACUGCUCCAUGCCAAGUUUUCACCGUACCGCCCGCGUGAGUUUGAGUGUUUGAGACGACAGUCCCGCUUUCUUAUUUGAGCAUAGUUCCAGGCGUAUCGCGCCGCCCCCGCAUGCCAUUUUAUAUGAGGCACACCAACGUGGUCUCGAGCACGGUUGUGUACAGCGAGGUAGUCUUUUGGCUGGUCUUGGGCUUUCAGUGGAACUACAAAAGCUAGGAAAAGAGCUAACGCCAAUAGUACUAGGGUUUGAAGAGAGUUAAACAUCUUCAUUUUUUUUUUUAUCUUAGUUGUCUCUGAGCUCUUUAGUGUUGUGUGUGUUAUGGUUAGAAACGAGGGUUUAUAUAGAGUUUACAUUGGAGUAAUUUCUAGACGAGUAAUAACACUUGCGAGAUAUUUUUUAAUUUUUACCAACGAAGACACGACUUGUAGUAAUUGUAUUAUUAUUUUUAAUCUGUUUACCAAGUCAAAUAGGCGAAGGGGUCAGAGAGCCUUAAUAAUGUCCCUUCGUAAAUAAAUUUAAACCAAUCAUUUGACUGAAACAAUUUUUACAGUAUUAAAAAUCCAAGACAAUAUCUUCAUAUCUUUCCAUAUACGUUUGUAUGCAUUUAUUUUAUUAUUAUUAAGGAGAAACUUUGGAGCACAAAAUAAACGAAACAUUAGAAUAUACUCCCGUUGAAUGUUGUAUAUUUUAUCCUCUAGAUAAUUUCUAUGUUUUAUGCUAGUUAAUUACUAUGACUUUUACUAGGUCAAAUGAAUGUAUGGAACCAGGCGUUGUCUCCUAGUGGUAAAGGGUCCCCAGCUGGAGGUACUGCCACCUGGGUUCGAUUCCUGGCCACUGCAGUAUUCACAUACAGGCUGCAGCGUUUCAGGAACCGACACGUGGAGAGCCAUUUGGCCGCCCACGUGGCUAGUCUGAGCGAACCGAUAGCGGUGCAAACACGUGGACUCUUGCUCUGUCGGGAAACCGAUAGCGGUGCAAACACGUGGACCCUUGCUCUGUCGGCGAGCGUUAGGAAAUCUGGGUUAUCAAAAAAAAAAAAAAAAAUGAAUGUAUGGCGAUGAUGCUAAUUAAGUAAUUAAAAAAAGGUGUUUCAUCGUGAAAACUGGUUCUUAUCAAUGUGAUUGAUUAAGAAUUACUUAUCUUCUUCUUUUUUUAUGGAUCAACCAUUUGCCGUUGUUUAAAUUACUCGAAUAAAGACAUCAAUGAGUAAAGGUCGAAUGUCUAGACAAUAAGAAAACAAGCAAAUUUUCAUUAGGGGUAGACAAUUUAUCUCAUAAGUUUAAAGAGAAGAUUACUUAAAUAUUCAGACAUCGAUAUCUCUUUAAUGUAGUUUUGUCACUGUUUUUGUACUCGUUUUGCAGCUUGCUUGUGAUAGACUUAAUUAGAAUUUCUUUUAUGAAUUUGUAUUUGAUAGUUUAUCACAAAUAAUAAUAUCUUGGAUAGUAUCUACAUUCUGUGAAUUUUCUUGAUGAUUAGUGGAUGAGAAAUUAAACAGCUUUAGAAGUCGAGAUCAUGCUCUUCAACAAUAACGUAGCUUAAACAUGCUUAAGAAAACUCUUAAUAGAAGAAACAAACAAAAGAAAAAUCAAUCACAAGCUCACGUUAAAUCACCUCGAUAUCCCAAGCACUUGCCAACUGCACCACGAGCUGGUCCGGUGUAUCCAUCGUCGGACUCGGACAUGCCAUUUGAAAGUUGUACAAGAAAUUGUACCUCAACUCCAUUGGAACUUCAAACAUCUCUGAACCACCUUUUAAAAGCACUUCUACCAGCUGCAAAGAGAGAGGGAAAGGGGUUAAGACUAAACAUCAUUUAGAAAUUGUAAAAGAUUUGAAGAUGUACCUGUUGAAUCCAAGGUACGCAUAUACCGUAGAAAUCAUGAUCCGGCAGCAGCGUACAUAUGAAGUUUAGAGCUUCAUUUGCAAUCUCAUUAGACAUAUGGCUAAUAAUGGGUCCUGUGUGAUGCAUCAGAAAGAUGAUCAACAUCUGGUUACCCAAACCAAGAACUCUUGCUAAUAUAUUACUAUUGUGGAUGCUCUUAGGACAAAAUUUUUUUUUUGCCUAUUAUUAUAAAAUAAUAUUUUUUUUACUACUUUUUCUAAAAAUUUAAGGUUUUUUAAUUAAAAAGUUAUUAUUUUAAAUUUUGGGGCCUUUUAUAUUUUUUUUUGUAAAAAAGUGGACUUUUUGAAGUAUAGUUCUUAUAUUAAUAAUAAAUUUUUUAAUAUGUGGAACUUUUUUAUAUGUAAAUUUUUAAAAGAAAAAAAUGUCCUGGACAGUCGUACUUUCGGCGUAUCCAUGUGAGCCGGGCUGAUGAUAAUAAAGUUAACGUAUUAACACAUAUAUUACAAGAAGGCAGAUUGAACACUAAACAUGGUAGUAUGAAAAACAAAUUCAUGUUGGUCUUGUGGUUAAAAUUCACCAUGUAAUUAAGAGAUCAUGGUUCGUGCCUUCUUAUUGCUGUUUUAAUCAUAGUUAGCUAUUGUUGAUGGUUUAUAUAACAAAAAUAUCCGGUGUUAAUUUCAUACACGGAAAUCUGAAUCAUGGUGUCAAGAUUCCACAUGUUGUAUUAUUCCAUCACAACAUGUCAACAUAUAUAUUAUACAAACCAUAAACACACAAAGGAACCACCACAUCCUGAUAGAUGGUGAUCAUUUAUUGAAAUUAUAGAAACACACACGUCCUCUAUGGACAAGUUUUAUUCGUCAGCGUACACAUAUACUUAGUAAGGCCAACGGCCCCUAACAUUACCGGGAGGAGAAUAGUUGCAAGUCACAAAGGUUCCACCAUUGUCACACUUGACUUUGGCACACCCAACCCACUCCGAGUUUUUCCACACAACCUGAGUAUAAUGACCACAUUGUUUUCCAGCACGA